UCUUGAAUAACUGCCCAAUGGAAGGGGCUCCCGUCGCCGAGGGAGGACGGGCUCUCGCCUGGAGCCAAUUCUUGGCGGAGGGGUGCGGCCAUGUCUGUGCCGGGCGGAAGGCCCUCGCGAGGGCUAGUUGGAGGACAUGUUGAAGAGGGGCAAGAGCCUUGUCCCUUUCCUCCCUGCCCCGCCCCAAACAUCCCGGGGCGCCCGCUGAACUCGCGGCUCCGGACGGCUCCUAAAGAUAAAAAUAAAGCCAAUGGAGGCACGGGCGUGACGGGGAGGAACCUGCGCUGAUUUUGCCAGGAAGGAGAGGCCUGCUGAGGAUCUAGGAAGUGAAUCUCUCCCAAAUUAACAAGCGAAUGUUCAGGACUCCGACUGAGACACGCCUGGAAUGUAGCCUUUGAAGAGCGCCUUUAAGAGCCCCUGCUCCUCCUGAUGCGCAGAAUCACAGCCUCCAGGACAGGAGUCCCUGGUCUUCUCCUUUGCUAGCCAAGCAAUAAAACUUCUUUUUCCUUUUUCUCAAA